UUCACCUGGUGAAGGGAAUCACUGUCAAUGGCUUGAAACCACAACACAGAAUCAUCAAGAAACUAAGCUGACAUUUUAGGAUAUAUGCUUUUUCAGUUGCAUUAAAAGACUCCAAUAUACACCACCGUUCAAAAGUUUGGGGUCACUUAGAACGGUCCUUAUUUAAAAAAAAAAAAAAAAAAAGCAUUUUUUCAAUGAAUAUAACGUUAAAUCAAUCACAAAUACAGUCUAGACAUUAUUAAUGUGGUAAAUGACUAUUCUAGCUGGAAACGGCUAAUUUUUAAUGGAAUACCUACAAAGGGGUACAGAGGAACAUUUUUAGCAACCAUCGCUUCUGUGUUGUAAUGGUACAUUGUGUUAGCUAAUGGUGUUGGAAGGCUAAUUGAUGAUUAGGAAACCCUUGUGAAAUUAUGUUAGCAUGUGAAUAAAAGUGCGAGUUUUCAUGGAAAACAUGAAAUUGUCUGGGUGACCCCAAACUUUUGAAUGGUAGUAUGUUAAAUAUGAAGCUAUAUUCAAGACUAAGGGCAGUGAUGUGGGUUUUCAUGAAAACACCACAUACAAUAACAUGCAGUUAGCAAUACUUUAACUAUUUCAUUAGUAAGCUUUAACAAACAAGGUAUAAUAUGGUAAUUAGUGAGCUUUAAUGAGCUGUUCUUUCUACUAAUCUGAGUCAACAGGCUCUGGCUGAAGCUUUAUUUUUAGAGGGCAGACAGGAAGGUGGUAUUCUCAUGUAACUCCUUGCAAGAAAGUGAAUAAGUAAAUAACUAAGCAAGGUAAAUAACUUUGCAUAUUACCUCCAGCAACCAGCAGAGCUGCUGCUGAAGAAGAAUUCUUUCACAGUAUUCAUUUAUUUUACAUGGCUUGUAUUGACUUUAAUUGAAGGCUGUCAGGCCUGCCUCUGCAGGUUCUGGGUAGUGCUCCUCCCUCCCUUUGUUGUGUUUCCUUUUUAGGAAUGUGUGGCACUGAGACGGCGGCGGCAGGUGUAGGAAAUCCUCAUCAGUAAUCAGCUGAAUUGGGAGCAGACACUGCAGAGCCAAUCAGCUUCAACUUCUCCACCAUAUAACCAGACUCUGCUCUUCAUUCUUUGCUGGAUCGUUGAUGCUACUACCUGGACUGCCUUUUCCUCGUGUGAUCACCUGCCUCUGGGAUUUCUGGAUUCACCUGCUCACCAGCCAGCCGGUUAUCUACUGACCCACCUCCAAGCCACCGCUUCCACCUUUGGAGCCUCAGCCCCCAUUCUUCCUAGUUGCUGGCUGUGCACCAGUCCGAGCUGAUCGGUCAGACAAUUAGUUUUUAGUUCUAGUGGUUUGCCUUACGUUUUUGGAGCUCUUAGCUUUCCUUAGUUAUUCCAAUUAUAGGUUUUGCAUUUGAGAUCAGAUUUGCUUGUAUAUAGUGUUUACUUAAGAAUUUCUGGUCAAGUUAGUCAUAGUCCUUGUUGUCACUUUGCUUAUAGACAAGUUCCUUAGUUUGCAGUUUAUUCUGAUUCGUAUGAAGUACGCCAUGAGCCUUUUUAGCUCUCUUGUUUGAGUAUGUCCUUAGCUCUUGCAGAUUCUAAUAUUGACAAUUUUAGUUAAGAGUAUCUGAGUUCUCCUGCCCAGGUUAUACCUGCCAUGGGUCAGCUUCAGUCAGUUGAAGUUUUCAUUUAGUCCUCCUGCCAUUAGAGGUGCAGUAGGUCUUUGGUUUUUGUUCCUUAAGUAGUUCCGUUUACUCUUCGGGGUUUUUUUUUUGUGUACUGAAGGGAUUUGUAGUUUCUGUGCACUAUUGUAUAGUGAAUAAACUCUUGUUGCUGCAUUUUGCUUGCCUUUCUCUCUCAUUUCCUGCGCCUGAGCUACUGAGUGAAACCUUAACAAAGGCUACACCUGUAUCAGAGUAAAUCAUGCUGUUUGUUCAUUUAAAUCUGCCUGAUUGUUGGGGUAUUUUGUACAAAAAUAAAACAUUAUCAAUGCUCU